UACGUAGGGCGCAAGCGUUGUCCGGAAUUAUUGGGCGUAAAGAGCUCGUAGGUGGCUUGUUGCGUCUGCCGUGAAAUCCCCGGGCUCAACCCGGGAACUGCGUCCGAUACUGGAAGGCUUGAAUCCGGGAGAGGGAUGCGGAAUUCCAGGUGUAGCGGUGAAAUGCGUAGAUAUCUGGAGGAACACCGGUGGCGAAGGCGGCAUCCUGGACCGGCAUUGACGCUGAGGCGCGAAAGCCAGGGGAGCAAACGGG
rnacentral:rRNA from 1 species